AUGGGGAAUGAGGGCUUGGGGUUGGGGACUUUCACGUGGGCCUGCGGGCCUUAUAACCCUAAACCGGUCGAAGUUGCGUUCGCGAACUUGCGGUCCGAAUGCACCAACUACAUUGGGAGUUCUUCUCCCGUCAAUUCUCUCCCAUUCCAAAACAAUAGAAUUGGCGGCGCAUUGUCCCCAAGGGCCCCCUCGCUCUCAUGUCAUUGUUGAUUCCGCAAGUUGGGGGUCUUGUAGGGUUUGCACGUAUCUUGGUACGCUGCAAUUCCCCAACCCCCAUCUGGUCCCCACAUUCUUUU
rnacentral:telomerase_RNA from 1 species